ACAAGCGGUGGAGCAUGUGGUUUAAUUCGACGCAACGCGAAGAACCUUACCAGGGCUUGACAUCCCCUGACCGCGUAUGAAAGUACGUUUUCACCCUCGGGUGACAGGGAGACAGGUGGUGCAUGGUUGUCGUCAGCUCGUGUCGUGAGAUGUUGGGUUAAGUCCCGCAACGAGCGCAACCCCUACGUUUAGUUGCUAACGCGUGAAGGCGAGCACUCUAGACGAACUGCCGUUGACAAAACGGAGGAAGGUGGGGAUGACGUCAAAUCAUCAUGCCCCUUAUGUUCUGGGCUACACACGUGCUACAAUGGCCGGUACAGACGGACGCAAAGCCGCGAGGUGGAGCAAAUCCUAAAAAGCCGGUCUCAGUUCGGAUUGCAGGCUGCAAUUCGCCUGCAUGAAGUCGGAAUCGCUAGUAAUCGCAGGUCAGCAUACUGCGGUGAAUACGUUCCCGGGCCUUGU
rnacentral:rRNA from 1 species